GGGGUGGAGGUGGGAGGGAGGAGGCCGAGACGGGCAGUAGUGAGACCCAAUAAGAGACGUUUAAGUUCGAAGCCCCGCCCACAACUCCUGUUUCAGCUUGGGCUCCCUCUCAGCGGUCGCGGUCACCGCCCACCCGGCUUCUUUUUUAUGGCUUCUAGUUCCUGGAGCUUCGUGGGGCAUUAAUGGCGGCUGAUCUAGGGGACGUUGAGGCCCAAGGCGCUGCAGGAGGAGACUUCUCAUGCUCUAAGAUCCAGUUGUCACAUCUGUGAAGACUUUGCUGAUAACCCUCAAGAGGCUCCUUACUCUUUCUUCACUAAUUAGUUUACCAUGGACAUAGGAAUAAUAUUUUUGUGCUUUUAACAUUCAACAAAUAUUGGAUGAGUGAUAUUAAAAUUUAUCUUGAAAAAAUGCCAGCAUUUUUGAGAGAAACAAGUUUGAUCCUGAAAGUUAUAUGGAAAUGCAGAAGAGCCAGAAUAGCCAAAACAAUUUUGAAAAAGAAAAGCAAAAGUGGCAGACUUCCACUGAUUUCAAAACUUAUUAUAAGGUACGGUAAUGAAGACGUAGGAUAUUGUCACAAGGAUGGACAUAUAAAUCAAUGGUACAGAAUAGACAGCCCAGAAAUAACCUUACAUUUAUGGCCAAUUGAUUUUCAACAAAUCUGCUAAAACAAUUCAGUGGGGAAAGAGCAAUUUUUUAAAAAAACAAAUAGUACUUGGACAACUAGAUAUUCUUAUAUGUGGAGAAAAAGAAGAACUUUGAUCCUUACUUCACACUAUACACAAAAAUUAAUUCAAAUGGAUCAUAGAUUUAAAUUUAGAAGAGCAGGUGAGCCUGGCUGGCUCAGUUGGAGGAGCAUACAACUCUUGGUCUUGAGGUUAUGAGUUUGAG